CAGCUUGCUGGGUGGAUUAGUGGCGAACGGGUGAGUAACACGUGAGUAACCUGCCCUUGACUCUGGGAUAAGCGUUGGAAACGACGUCUAAUACCGGAUACGAGCUUCCACCGCAUGGUGAGUUGCUGGAAAGAAUUUUGGUCAAGGAUGGACUCGCGGCCUAUCAGCUUGUUGGUGAGGUAAUGGCUCACCAAGGCGACGACGGGUAGCCGGCCUGAGAGGGUGACCGGCCACACUGGGACUGAGACACGGCCCAGACUCCUACGGGAGGCAGCAGUGGGGAAUAUUGCACAAUGGGCGAAAGCCUGAUGCAGCAACGCCGCGUGAGGGACGACGGCCUUCGGGUUGUAAACCUCUUUUAGCAGGGAAGAAGCGAAAGUGACGGUACCUGCAGAAAAAGCACCGGCUAACUACGUGCCAGCAGCCGCGGUAAUACGUAGGGUGCAAGCGUUGUCCGGAAUUAUUGGGCGUAAAGAGCUCGUAGGCGGUUUGUCGCGUCUGCUGUGAAAUCCCGAGGCUCAACCUCGGGUCUGCAGUGGGUACGGGCAGACUAGAGUGCGGUAGGGGAGAUUGGAAUUCCUGGUGUAGCGGUGGAAUGCGCAGAUAUCAGGAGGAACACCGAUGGCGAAGGCAGAUCUCUGGGCCGCUACUGACGCUGA
rnacentral:rRNA from 1 species